GACGUAGGGCGCAAGCGUUGUCCGGAAUCAUUGGGCGUAAAGAGCGUGUAGGCGGCUCGGUAAGUCGGCUGUGAAAGUCCAGGGCUCAACCCUGGGAUGCCGGUCGAUACUGCCGGACUAGAGUUCGGAAGAGGCGAGUGGAAUUCCCGGUGUAGCGGUGAAAUGCGCAGAUAUCGGGAGGAACACCUAUGGCGAAGGCAGCUCGCUGGGACGUUACUGACGCUGAGACGCGAAAGCGUGGGGAGCAAACAGG
rnacentral:rRNA from 1 species